rnacentral:lncRNA from 1 species
UAAUCUAACCCAACAUCGACAACUUAUCUAUCAAAUUCAUGAUCCAUUGUGGUGAUCCACAGUCACAUCAUUAAUAAUCUUUAAAAGCAAAUAAAAAAGAAGAAAAAUUUAAGAGAAAGGUAUAAUCCACUUACAUCUGAUUUACAAUCAUAUGGCGUGCCUUGGGCUGAAGUUGGGUCCUCCAGUCGGCAGAGCUCCCACUAGCAGCAGCGGAAAUUUCACCCUCAGCCAGACUCCAUCUGUUCCCUUCCAUUCAACCAAAUUGUUUAGACACUUGAAAAUGAAAUUAACAGGAUUACUCUUUGAGACAAACAGAGAACUAUCACUUCACUACAACAAAUUAGAAAACUGAAAAGCCCAAGGGAUAUUACCUUCCAUAAAAACUAUUAUUCAAUUAUUGUCUCAUUAGUUAUUAAAUAUUUUUUUGUAUCAUAAAGGUAAAUCCUAAUCAUAUCCUACCCUAAAAGUGAAUUGCCAUAAAUUAUUUUGCAAGCAAAGACAAUAAUUAAGGCUUCUCAAAACAUAUUUGGUUGUGAAGAAAUGGCUAUAAAAGUAAUCAUUCCUUGAUUUUAGAUAAAUAUGUGUAGGAGUAAGGAAAAUGUAGUUCCAAAGAGAAAAAGAAGAUCAUUUCAAAACCUCUUCGAGGGUGAGGAAGGCCAUAUGGCAUUCAAGAAGUUUCUCUCUCACAUUGAUUAGCUGACGAUCAAGAUAAGUCAUUGAAUAAUAUCCUGCCAAGAAUAUUUUUGUCACUCAACUGUACAUUGGGAUUUCCAUCUUGCAUAAACUCUAGCUCUUAUAAAAAUGUCUAUAUAUUAUAUACACUUUCAAAGAAAUGUAGGUCUCCUCUAUGGCUGGAUGAAUAUGCAUCUUUUUUAGGCCCCUUUUUUGUCAUGCACCAAAACCAAGUAUGAGACAAGAACCCAACAGUUAUCAUGAGAUGUAAACUGUUAGCCAAAAUUCUUAGAUCAAUAUGGUCAUCCCAUAAAAACUAUGGUCAGUGAUUGAAAGAGACGCUCGGGCGCUCGCCUAGGCGCUCGGUCGAGGCGAGGCGAGGCCCGAGCGCCUCGCUAAUGUCCCAGGCGACGCGCUUCAAACAAGCGCCGCCUGGG